AACGCUAGCUACAGGCUUAACACAUGCAAGUCGAGGGGCAUCAGGAAGAAAGCUUGCUUUCUUUGCUGGCGACCGGCGCACGGGUGAGUAACACGUAUCCAACCUGCCCUUUACUCGGGGAUAGCCUUUCGAAAGAAAGAUUAAUACCCGAUAGCAUAAUGAUUCCGCAUGGUUUCAUUAUUAAAGGAUUCCGGUAAAGGAUGGGGAUGCGUUCCAUUAGGUUGUUGGUGAGGUAACGGCUCACCAAGCCUUCGAUGGAUAGGGGUUCUGAGAGGAAGGUCCCCCACAUUGGAACUGAGACACGGUCCAAACUCCUACGGGAGGCAGCAGUGAGGAAUAUUGGUCAAUGGGCGCUAGCCUGAACCAGCCAAGUAGCGUGCAGGAUGACGGCCCUAUGGGUUGUAAACUGCUUUUACACGGGGAUAAAGUGGUCGACGUGUCGUCCAUUGCAGGUACCGUGCGAAUAAGGACCGGCUAAUUCCGUGCCAGCAGCCGCGGUAAUACGGAAGGUCCAGGCGUUAUCCGGAUUUAUUGGGUUUAAAGGGAGCGUAGGCCGUCUGUUAAGCGUGUUGUGAAAUGUAGAUGCUCAACAUCUGAAUUGCAGCGCGAACUGACAGACUUGAGUGCGCAGGAAGUAGGCGGAUUCGUGGUGUANCGGUGAAUGCUUAAUAUCACGAAGAACUCCGAUUG
rnacentral:rRNA from 1 species